CACGUAGGCGGCUUUGCAAGUUAGAGGUGAAAGCCCAGGGCUCAACCCUGGAAUUGCCUUUAAAACUGCAUCGCUAGAAUUGUGGAGAGGUAAGUGGAAUUCCGAGUGUAGAGGUGAAAUUCGUAGAUAUUCGGAAGAACACCAGUGGCGAAGGCGACUUACUGGACACAUAUUGACGCUGAGGUGCGAAAGCGUGGGGAGCAAACA
rnacentral:rRNA from 1 species